rnacentral:rRNA from 1 species
UGCAUGGGCGUUCUUAGUUCGUGGAGUGAUCUGUCUGCUUAAUUGCGUUUCAAAUAUAUUUUAUUAUAUACGAGUCUACAAAGGAGUGGUUCAUUAACAGACAAUCAUAUCUUUGAGCGUCUGGAAUCUACUCUAUUUGGCUCAAUUGAACGCAACGGACGUGAUCGCGAGUCCUUGUUGAACUUCAGUAUAUAUUGACUUUCCCCGUAGGAAGGGAUUGGCAAUAAUUGAAUGUUCGCUUUCUAUUAGGUUUGUAUGUAAUCUCAAAAUUACAUGUAUUUGUAAUGGCGAGUGAUCACACCUAUAGGAAAACUCGGGCGACCGCUGUAAUAUUUCUCUUUAAAACAGAGGAAGAUUGCGGCAAUAACAGGUCUGUGAUGCCCUCAGAUGUCCCGGGCCGCACACGUGCUACAUUGAUUAGCGCAGUGCGCAUACUUUCAAUAUGAUACAUUAGAUUGGAUAGCUUUUGCUUCCAUCUAAUACUAUCCGGCUUGAGAAGGCUGGGUAAUCAAUUGUAAGUGCUGGUUCCUCCUCCCGUUGAGCAUUUUAAUAAUGGCCUCUCUACAUCCCUAGUAAUAUGACUAGUGCGAUUGUAGUUGAGCCUUGCCAUUUAUGCAAGUGUCAAUUCUCAG